rnacentral:rRNA from 1 species
UACAGAGGUCCCGAGCGUUGUUCGGAUUCACUGGGCGUAAAGGGUGCGUAGGUGGCGAGGUAAGUCGGAUGUGAAAGCUCGGAGCUCAACUCCGAAACUGCAUUCGAUACUGCGCGGCUCGAGACAGGUAGGGGAGAUCGGAAUUCCUGGUGUAGCGGUGAAAUGCGUAGAUAUCUGGAGGAAUACCGGUGGCGAAGGCGGCAUUCUGGACCGGCAUUGACGCUGAUGAGCGAAAGCUAGGGGAGCAAACGGG